rnacentral:rRNA from 1 species
UUGGAGGGCAAGUCUGGUGCCAGCAGCCGCGGUAAUUCCAGCUCCAAUAGCGUAUAUUAAAGUUGUUGCAGUUAAAAAGCUCGUAGUUGAAUUUCGGGGUUAGUAGGUUGGUCAUGCCUCUGGUAUGUACUGGUCUCACUGAUUCCUCCUUCCUGAUGAACCGUAAUGCCAUUAAUUUGGUGUUGCGGGGAAUUUGGACUGUUACUUUGAAAAAAUUAGAGUGUUUAAAGCAAGCUAACGCUUGAAUACAUUAGCAUGGAAUAAUGAAAUAGGACGUUCGAUCCUAUUUUGUUGGUUUCUAGGAUUGACGUAAUGAUUAAUAGGGAUAGUUGGGGGCAUUAGUAUUCAAUUGUCAGAGGUGAAAUUCUUGGAUUUAUUGAAGACUAACUACUGCGAAAGCAUUUGCCAAGGAUGUUUUCAUUAAUCAAGAACGAAAGUUAGGGGAUCGAAGACGAUCAGAUACCGUCGUAGUCUUAACCAUAAACUAUGCCGACGGAUGAUGUUAAUUUUUUAAUGACUCAUUCGGCGACUUACGGGAAACCAAAGUGUUUGGGUUC